rnacentral:lncRNA from 1 species
ACACCUCCAUCAAGUGCAGCGCUACCACCACCUCCGCCACAGCCACCACCACCACCACCAGCGUGAGGACGAGGACUGGUAGAGUGGACACCCAACUUUUAUGAUCAAACGGCACGGAUGAUUGGAGCGUUCAGCAAUCAGGUUGCCUCAUCAGCGUUCCACACCGAUGACCGCCACACUAUGUAAAAGGAAGGCCCACUCAGUCAAGAGCCCCAGCUGCUGUUCAUGAACAGGACAAGUAUAGAUCAGCCCAACAAGAGUGAAAGGCCAACAAUACUGCCUUCCUCUGUGUCUGCAUCUUAACAAAUCCAAUUUGCAUGUGAUUCCAAUUUGCAUGUGAACC